GCGCCCGUAGCUCAGUUGGAUAGAGCAACGGCCUUCUAAGCCGUGGGUCGCAGGUUCGAAUCCUGCCGGGUGCG
rfam:Idiomarina loihiensis L2TR, complete genome.